AAAAACCUACUUCAAAGGAGAGAACAUUGAUAUGGGUAGUCGCGAAAUACUGGGUUAUGUCUGUAGCCACUAGGAAGGUGAUUUGGUUAAACAAACAUGUAUUUGAUCUUUGCAUUUAUUUCAUCAUUGCAACGCCUUUUCAUUGUGAUAAUAACAACAAACACACACACACACACACACAUUCACAAAGGCAAUUUCAACAUCUUCUCAAAAAUUCUCAAAAAUUCACCACACUUCAACAAAUUUUCUCCAUAAAUCACUUGACCAUUUAAGUUCCAACAUAAUUAUACAUCAUAUAAAACUAGUUUUAGGAACAUUAAAUUUCAAGAAAUCCAAGGGUCUAAACUUUGAAGAUUUUCAAUUUUUGAUACUUUUCUUGAUUUCUUCCACUUGAUUGAAAAAAUUUCAUAUGUUUGAUGGAGAACGGGAUUAGUUGUAAUGGAGGCUAUGUAUUAGUUGAAAACGUUGGUAUUAAACACAUAUAUGUCAAUUUUUUUUGUCCCUACAUAAAAUCAUGCCCAUUACAUGCUCCAAAAGAAAAAGGGGUAAUUAUAUUACCACUACAAAAUUUAGUAGUUACACCACAUUUUUUUAUUUACUUAUUUAGUCAUAAGUAAAAUUACAUAAAUGGGUUUUAAAUAUAUUUAUUAUAUAAAACAAUUUAUCGUGCCACCAUAAUCAUAUCAACUUACAUUACCUUUUUUCUGAAGGUCAUAUGAAAGAAAAUCGCCAUUAGCAGAGAGUUUGGGUACGAGGAGCUCGACCCGAGGAAGAAAAAUAUGUGGUGUUUAAUCCAUAGCAAGUCUACGAGCCAAUGGUCGGCAUUCUGAUGCAGCAAGUUGCAGAAACUGUUCUAAUUGCUUCUUGAAUAAUACAAAUGUAGCCUGAGGGCACUAAUUUGACAUCAAGUAUUGGCAACUUUUUCAUAUGGCUGACUGUUGAAGAUUAUGAUUCGACUAGGAUAUGAGAAGGGAAAUGGGACAUAGGAUUGGGGGAGUCAUCUCCGCCUCAUUAUUUGGUAAAUCUUCAGUGAAAUUUAUUUUGUGGGUUUCUCUAUUUCUUUGGCUCAAUUCAGCACAAAUAAAUUGUGAUGUUGUUUUGGAAUCAAACACAAGUGUAGUUAAAAAAAAUUAUAUAUAUUUGGGGGGCGGGAGACUGAUCUUUUGGUACAUGGACUAAUUAAGUUUUACUUUUUCCUUUUCCAUUUGUCUUUCUAUAUAUUUAGAAUAUCUUUUCUUACAAUGGAAG
rnacentral:lncRNA from 1 species